rnacentral:snRNA from 1 species
ACAUUUAUCUGACAGGGAGGGAGUCUGAUAAUGAAGAUGGUUUCUGAGAGUGAGCCUCAUCACUUCAGGUAGGCUGACUCCUGCAAUCCCCCAGAUCCAGGGAACUUGACUGUGAAAUUUGUGAUGUGGGAGAUUGUUUUGUUCUUGAAUUAAAACAUAUUCCUA